GAUGAACGCUGGCGGCGUGCCUAAUACAUGCAAGUCGAGCGAACGGACGAGAAGCUUGCUUCUCUGAUGUUAGCGGCGGACGGGUGAGUAACACGUGGAUAACCUACCUAUAAGACUGGGAUAACUUCGGGAAACCGGAGCUAAUACCGGAUGAUAUUUUGAACCGCAUGGUUCAAAAGUGAAAGACGGUCUUGCUGUCACUUAUAGAUGGAUCCGCGCUGCAUUAGCUAGUUGGUAAGGUAACGGCUUACCAAGGCAACGAUGCAUAGCCGACCUGAGAGGGUGAUCGGCCACACUGGAACUGAGACACGGUCCAGACUCCUACGGGAGGCAGCAGUAGGGAAUCUUCCGCAAUGGGCGAAAGCCUGACGGAGCAACGCCGCGUGAGUGAUGAAGGUCUUCGGAUCGUAAAACUCUGUUAUUAGAGAAGAACAUAUGUGUAAGUAACUGUGCACAUCUUGACGGUACCUAAUCAGAAAGCCACGGCUAACUACGUG
rnacentral:rRNA from 1 species